CGCCUCCUGAUAGUAGGUACAGCCUGCCCAGUGACAUUUAACGGCCGCGGUAUCCUAACCGUGCGAAGGUAGCGUAAUCACCUGUUUUUUAAUUAAAGACCCGUAUGAAAGGCACCACGAGAAUCAAACUGUCUCCUAUUUCUAAUCAGUGAAACUAAUCUUCCUGUGAAAAAGCAGGAAUCAUUAUACAAGACGAGAAGACCCUUUGGAGCUUCAGACAACAUGAUGACCUGAACUCAUCAAUAGUCUUCGGUUGGGGCAACCACGGAGAAAAAAAUAACCUCCGAGAUGAAAACAAAAGCCACAACUUUAAGUAUCAAAAUGACAUCAAUUGACCCAAUAUUUUGACCAACGAACCAAGUUACCCAAGGGAUAACAGCGCAAUCCGCUUUAAGAGUCCAUAUCGACAAGCGGGCUUACGACCUCGAUGUUGGAUCAAGAUAUCCCAGUGGUGCAGC
rnacentral:rRNA from 1 species